rnacentral:rRNA from 1 species
UGGUGGAGUGAUUUGUCUGGUUAAUUCCGAUAACGAACGAGACCUUAUCCUGCUAAUUAGAAGCAUUAUUUUAUAACACUGUUUGGCUUCUUAGAGGGACUAUUGUUUAUUAAGCAGCGGAGGUUUGAGGCAAUAACA